rnacentral:rRNA from 1 species
CCUACGGGUGGCAGCAGUGGGGAAUAUUGGGCAAUGGGCGCAAGCCUGACCCAGCAACGCCGCGUGAAGGAAGAAGGCUUUCGGGUUGUAAACUUCUUUUGACAGGGAAGAGUAGAAGACGGUACCUGUCGAAUAAGCUACGGCUAACUACGUGCCAGCAGCCGCGGUAAUACGUAGGUGGCAAGCGUUGUCCGGAAUUACUGGGUGAAAGGGGAGGGUAGGCGGGAAAGCAAGUUGAAUGUUUAAGGUACGGGCUCAACCUGUACAAGCGUUCAAAACUGUUUUUCUUGAGUGGAGUAGAGGUAAGCGGAAUUCCUGGUGUAGCGGUGAAAUGCGUAAAUAUUAGGAGGAACACCAGUGGCGAAGGCGGCUUACUGGGCUUUAACUGACGCUGAGGCUCGAAAGCGUGGGUAGCAAACAGGAUUAGAUACCCUAGUAGUC